rnacentral:rRNA from 1 species
GACGUAGGGCGCAAGCGUUGUCCGGAUUUAUUGGGCGUAAAGAGCUCGUAGGCGGCCUGUCGCGUCGACCGUGAAAACCCGCAGCUCAACUGCGGGCUUGCGGUCGAUACGGGCAGGCUGGAGUUCGGUAGGGGAGACUGGAAUUCCUGGUGUAGCGGUGAAAUGCGCAGACUAUCAGGAGGAACACCGGUGGCGAAGGCGGGUCUCUGGGC